GUGUGUGUGUGUGCGCGUGUGUGUGUGUUGUGUGUGUGGCGUGUCAUGGUGCUGAGGGUCUGUGCCGCCUCACAGGAGAAACUCUGACGACGAUCGGAGCUCCGCUGAAGGAUCACGUUGAGACUAAAAUAUCUGCAGAAGAAGUAGAGCGGUGUAGCGACCUCUGCUGGAGUCAGAACAGUGUACAAAGAGAAGCCGGUGGAGUCUUUAGCAACUUGUGUUCCUCUCUACGAUGUUGCUGCUAACUGUUUGUGACAACUAGCUCAUUUCUAACACGUCAGCACUCACGGAUGUUGAUGGAGUUUCUCAGUUUUUGGUUUGUGUCCUGAUGUGAAUGUGUUGGGUCCAUAGAGUGAGUAGCUGUUUGAGUUGUUUGGAUGUCUGCUACAUAUAGUGUAAGCAUUGUGACUGCAAAUAAACCUCAUUGAUUUUUA